rnacentral:rRNA from 1 species
UACAGAGGUCUCAAGCGUUGUUCGGAUUCAUUGGGCGUAAAGGGCGCGUAGGCGGCGGGGUAAGUCGGGUGUGAAAUCUCAGAGCUCAACUCUGAAACUGCACUCGAUACUGCUCUGCUUGAGGACUGGAGAGGAGACUGGAAUUCACGGUGUAGCAGUGAAAUGACGUAGAUAUCGUGAGGAAGACCAGUGGCGAAGGCGGGUCUCGUGGAC